UGCUGGGGUAAGGGUUGACGUGGGCAUCUGCUGAUCGUGAGACAUGGAUGUGCCUGGAUUUAAAUGGAGGCCCUCAUGCUGGAAGACAGGAAUGUGCCUGCCAUGAAGCAACAUGACAACCAACAUGCACGUGGAUUUGGGAAAGACAUCAAAGGCCGAGCCAUAUGGUAACCGCUCAUCCUGUUGGGAGUCUCACGGGGACUGGAGCUUUUCCCAGCUGACAUUGGGCAAGAUUCAGGGUACACCCUGGACAGGUCCAAGGUUCAACCAGUCACACCUAUGGCCAAUUUAGAGUCACC